rnacentral:lncRNA from 1 species
CCUUAGCAUUGAAGGUGAGUGGCCUGUUUCAGCUGGUAGAACAACAAAAGAAACGUCACAGCACCUCGGCUGCGUUUCUGAGGACUCGGGGAGGCUGCCUUCCACGAAGCCCACUCAUUCUCAGGGUUACCUGAAGGCUGCAGGUCAUGGAGAAGGAACUGUCAGUGCCACUAAAGACACUGUUCAAAAGGACAAAAAGCUUAAAAAGUCUCACUUGCUCAGGGAUUGUCAGUGCACCUGAUUGUUGUUUUCCUUUCUUCUCCUGUUUUCUCCUUUACUAUACCCAAGGCCCCACCGAGGAAUGACUGGGAAGAAAAUUCAAGUCUUCUCUUAGUUGCUGCAUCACAUCUUAUUCUUGGAUUUCAGAAUCAUGUGUCACUGGUAUAAAUGAGGGUCCGUUCUAAGUGGGCCCAAGUCUCUUAUUUGGAAACUACUAGGGGAAAUAGGAAGAUUUUUUUCUUUUUUGGUACUGGGAAUUGAACCCAGGGGUGUUUAACCACUGAGCCACAUUUCCAGCAGUCUUUUUUUUUUUAAGUUUUUUUUGAUUUAGAAACAGGGUCUCACUAAGUUGCUUAGGGCCUUACUAAGUUGCAGAGACUGGCUUUGAACAUUCGAUCCUCCUGCCUCCGCCUCCUGAGUGGCUGGGAUUAUAGGAAUGUGUGGGAAGCCGUUCUCGCACGUGAUUUGAGCUACCUCCCUGGCUGGGUGUGAGGCACUUAGUCAAGCUGUGUCAGAGCCUUCCCCACCCUUCCCCAGGUGCGAGGGCUUGUCCGUGUGGGGGUGUGACUGACCACUGACCUGAAAACCAAUCACUGACCCUGACCUUGGAAUGCUGUCCCCCUCGACCUUCAUUGGAUGGAAUUUUCCCCUGAAUUUUUUGUUCCCCAAUAAAAGCUCACUCCUUGGCGUGCUUCUCUCUCUCUUGC